rnacentral:snRNA from 1 species
CUGGCUUGUGGCAGCCAAGCGU